CUCGGAUCAGGUAGGGAUACCCGCUGAACUUAAG
rnacentral:rRNA from 1 species